rnacentral:rRNA from 1 species
GACGAACCGAGCGAACGUUGUUCGGAAUCACUGGGCUUAAAGGGCGCGUAGGCGGGUGCUCAAGUCCGGGGUGAAAUCCCAGCAGCUCAACUGUGGAACUGCCUCGGAUGACUGGGUGUCUCGAGGGUGGCAGGGGUAUGCGGAACUAUCGGUGGAGCGGUGAAAUGCGUUGAUAUCGAUAGGAACUCCGGUGGCGAAGGCGGCAUACUGGUCCACUUCUGACGCUGAGGCGCGAAAGCCAGGGGAGCAAACGGG